CACGGGGGGGGCAAGCGUUGUUCGGAAUUACUGGGCGUAAAGGGCUCGUAGGCGGCCAACUAAGUCAGACGUGAAAUCCCUCGGCUUAACCGGGGAACUGCGUCUGAUACUGGAUGGCUUGAGUUUGGGAGAGGGAUGCGGAAUUCCAGGUGUAGCGGUGAAAUGCGUAGAUAUCUGGAGGAACACCGGUGGCGAAGGCGGCAUCCUGGACCAACACUGACGCUGAGGAGCGAAAGCCAGGGGAGCAAACGGG
rnacentral:rRNA from 1 species